AACGAACGCUGGCGGCAGGCUUAACACAUGCAAGUCGAGCGCCCCGCAAGGGGAGCGGCAGACGGGUGAGUAACGCGUGGGAAUCUACCGUACCCUACGGAAUAGCUCCGGGAAACUGGAAUUAAUACCGUAUAUGCCCUACGGGGGAAAGAUUUAUCGGGGUAUGAUGAGCCCGCGUUGGAUUAGCUAGUUGGUGGGGUAAAGGCCUACCAAGGCGACGAUCCAUAGCUGGUCUGAGAGGAUGAUCAGCCACAUUGGGACUGAGACACGGCCCAAACUCCUACGGGAGGCAGCAGUGGGGAAUAUUGGACAAUGGGCGCAAGCCUGAUCCAGCCAUGCCGCGUGAGUGAUGAAGGUCUUAGGAUUGUAAAGCUCUUUCACCGAUGAAGAUAAUGACGGUAGUCGGAGAAGAAGCCCCGGCUAACUUCGUGCCAGCCGCCGCGGUAACAC
rnacentral:rRNA from 1 species